CAGUUUUGACAAUGCAUCGUCUUUCCAUGGAAAAAAAAAACGUUGAUUGACAAUGCAUCAUCUUUCCAAGAAGAAAAAACAUUGACAAUGCAUCGCAAACCAAGUACAGGAGAACAGACAAGCACAUUGAAACUUCUCAGAUGUAUCUUCAGACACAGGGUUCACCGACGAACAAAGCUGACAGUGAUACAUCUUACUGUUAUGCUGCUGAAAUCUGGGAAGCUGAAGUUUUUCCUGAGCUUAAAAGGAGAAAAAGGUAAAUUAGCAGGCUUUCUGCUUCUUUCUUGUACAAAGUUAAGCAAAACUGCUAUGUUUGUAUCAAUUUGUAACUCUGCCCCUCUUGCACGUGGUGCAAGUUGAGGCUCCUGUCUAAUUGCUUGAAUCUUUUUUGUACUUCUCAGGCUUGAGAACUCCGACAUAAGGCAGGUUGCGGUAGAGCUCUGCAUAAUCCAGACCAUAACCAACAACAAAGUAGUCCGGACACUGAAAAGGACAAAAGCAAAUUAGCACUUGCAAGAUGGGGAAGGGCAGCUUAGUAGAGCUUUUCAUCACUAUAUUUGUUUACCAGAAAAAAAACUACAUAAUUCUCUAGUUUGCAUCUUUCACUGGUAAUAAAUAUAGUUUGCUUGAUCUAUGUAACAAUGUACUGUUUUCGUAGCAAUUUUUUUUAAAAGAUUUUGGUAGCGAUUUUUUAAAGAAGAUUGUGACAUAGAAUGAUACUAAAAGGAGAUCAUAAUUGUACCUCAAA